rnacentral:miRNA from 1 species
ACUUCGCGGUAAGUCUAACCCUAAUU